UGCCACGUGGAUCAUGCUCAGACAUC
rnacentral:piRNA from 1 species